CCUACGGGAGGCAGCAGUGGGGAAUAUUGGACAAUGGGGGCAACCCUGAUCCAGCCAUGCCGCGUGUGUGAAGAAGGCCCUCGGGUUGUAAAGCACUUUCAGUGAGGAAGAACGCCUGGUGGUUAAUACCCAUCAGGAAAGACAUCACUCACAGAAGAAGCACCGGCUAACUCCGUGCCAGCAGCCGCGGUAAUACGGAGGGUGCGAGCGUUAAUCGGAAUUACUGGGCGUAAAGCGCGCGUAGGUGGCUUGAUAAGCCGGUUGUGAAAGCCCCGGGCUCAACCUGGGAACGGCAUCCGGAACUGUCAAGCUAGAGUGCAGGAGAGGAAGGUAGAAUUCCCGGUGUAGCGGUGAAAUGCGUAGAGAUCGGGAGGAAUACCAGUGGCGAUGGCGGCCUUCUGGACUGACACUGACACUGAGGUGCGAAAGCGUGGGUAGCAAACAGGAUUAGAUACCCCAGUAGUC
rnacentral:rRNA from 1 species